rnacentral:rRNA from 1 species
GACGAAGGAUGCAAGCGUUAUCCGGAUUCAUUGGGUUUAAAGGGUGCGUAGGCGGCCCGGUAAGUCAGUGGUGAAAGCCUGUUGCUUAACAACAGAACUGCCAUUGAUACUGCUGGUCUUGAGUACAGAUGCUGUGGGCGGAAUAUGACAUGUAGUGGUGAAAUACAUAGAGAUGUCAUAGAACACCGAUUGCGAAGGCAGCUCACAAAACUGUAACUGACGCUGAGGCACGAAAGUGCGGGGAUCAAACAGG